rnacentral:rRNA from 1 species
GACGAACGCUGGCGGCGUGCCUAAUACAUGCAAGUAGAACGCUGAAGAGAGGAGCUUGCUCUUCUUGGAUGAGUUGCGAACGGGUGAGUAACGCGUAGGUAACCUGCCUUGUAGCGGGGGAUAACUAUUGGAAACGAUAGCUAAUACCGCAUAACAAUGGAUGACACAUGUCAUUUAUUUGAAAGGGGCAAUUGCUCCACUACAAGAUGGACCUGCGUUGUAUUAGCUAGUAGGUGAGGUAAUGGCUCACCUAGGCGACGAUACAUAGCCGACCUGAGAGGGUGAUCGGCCACACUGGGACUGAGACACGGCCCAGACUCCUACGGGAGGCAGCAGUAGGGAAUCUUCGGCAAUGGGGGCAACCCUGACCGAGCAACGCCGCGUGAGGGAAGAAGGGUUUCGGAUCGUAAAGCUCUGUUGUAAGUCAAGAACGGGUGUGAGAGUGGAAAGUUCACACUGUGACGGUAGCUUACCAGAAAGGGACGGCUAACUACGUG